UACAGAGGUCUCAAGCGUUUGUUCGGAUUCAUUGGGCGUAAAGGGUGCGUAGGCGGCGCGGUAAGUCGGGUGUGAAAUCUCGGGGCUUAACUCCGAAACUGCAUUCGAUACUGCCGUGCUUGAGGACUGGAGAGGAGACUGGAAUUUACGGUGUAGCGGUGAAAUGCGUAGAUAUCGUAAGGAAGACCAGUGGCGAAGGCGGGUCUCUGGACAGUUCCUGACGCUGAGGCACGAAGGCCAGGGGGAGCAAAACGGGGAUUAGAACUACCGUAGU
rnacentral:rRNA from 1 species